rnacentral:rRNA from 1 species
UACGAAGGGGGCUAGCGUUGUUCGGAAUCACUGGGCGUAAAGGGCGCGUAGGCGGCUUGACAAGUCACUUGUGAAAUCUCCGGGCUUAACUCGGAACGGCCAAGUGAAACUGUCAUGCUAGAGUGCAGAAGGGGCAAUCGGAAUUCUUGGUGUAGCGGUGAAAUGCGUAGAUAUGCGGAGGAACACCGAUGGCGAAGGCAAUCCCCUGGACCUGUACUGACGCUCAUGCACGAAAGCGUGGGGAGCAAACAGG